CAACAAUCAGUGCUAGUGAGGUGUAAUAGGCCCCAACAAUCAGUGCUAGUGGGGUGUAAUAGGCCCCAACAAUCAGUGCUAGUGGGGUGGAAUAGGCCCCAACAAUCAGUGCUAGUGGGGUG